rnacentral:rRNA from 1 species
UACAGAGGUCCCAAGCGUUGUUCGGAGUUACUGGGCGUAAAGGGUGCGUAGGCGGUUGUUUAAGUUUGGUGUGAAAUCUCCCGGCUCAACUGGGAGGGUGCGCCGAAUACUGUCGGGCUAGAGUGCGGAAGAGGCGAGUGGAAUUCCUGGUGUAGCGGUGAAAUGCGCAGAUAUCAGGAGGAACACCGAUUGCGAAGGCAGCUCGCUGGGACGUAACUGACGCUGAGACGCGAAAGCGUGGGGAGCAAACAGG